UGAAGUGAAGAAACACAGCGGGCAUGCGAUUUUACCCGGCUCAGCACGCGUCAGGAUCGCUAAACGUUUCUGUCCGUCGCCCCGUUUCUCUGCCUGUGUGAUAACACGGGGCUGGAGUGGUCACCACUUCAUCCUACGAGUGGCUCAGCCUCACUUCAGUGUUUGCCUGGGAUGUAAUGUGCACGUUUAUGAUGCUCCAAGUUAACUCGAUGCAGUGCUGGCGGCAGUACAGUGGGAAGGGAAAAGAGAUAUUUGUAAACGGAGGCCCUUAAACCUCAAUACUUGAAGAUUGUGGAGCAAGUGUUAAUCCUUGAGGGGAACUUGGUCAAAAGAAGUCUGGCGGGUUAAGUUUUCGGCAUCUGCUGUCAGAUGCUGAUGUCCUGGGGUUCAGGGCUUCUGAUCUACCCCAACUCUUGUUCAGCGCCAUGUGGGAUCUUAGUUCCCCAACCAGGGAUGGAACCUGCGCCCCUGCAGUGAAAGCGUGGAGUCUUAACCACUGGACCACCAAGCAAGUCCCUCAUAAUCCUGUUUCUCUGCAACUGAAACAUCCAGUUAACUGUAUCUGUGUCUCUCAUUCUCCUGGACGCUCCUUCACAGUAUCCAGCACAUCGGUAUCUUGCCAACACUCAGGCUUUUAGUGAAUAAUCACUGAAUGCAUAAAACAUAAACAAGCAGGGAAAAGAAGAGGUUCCUUGACAUACAGUGAAAGAGUAGUUAAGAUAUCCCACCGAACAAGCAAAUGAAAUAGCUAAUAGUUAUUCGAGCUAAACUUAAGCUUUCUGAGACCGGGAGAGGCAACAGUGAAAUUUUUAGGCAUGUGUGUUAAGAAGCAGUGACUUCACAGAAACUUCCACGGUAAGCUCGCAGAGAUGGGAUGGGCUCUGUGCUAGGGAAUGAUGGAUGCUUACAAUCACAGGAAAGCUUUAUGUGCGCGCAGGAUUCUUCUAAGUCAGACAGGAAAGCAUGGGCGCUCGGCCUGCAGAAGAGCAAUGGUCACCUCUGCUUAUUUUUUCAGUAAGUCGGUGUUGUUGUUUGUUGUUGUUUCUUGGCAGAAGGAAAGAAACAAAAGUGUACACUUUCCCAGGCAGCCAAGAUCUGAUCCUCUGACCCUCUUGUGAGCUGUCAUGAGCCACUAAGAAAGCUCGCCGGAUUUGUAACCGGAAUUUCACUGAAGCUAAGAAGAGCAUGGCGUGCAUACUGGCAGCUCCUUUGCUCAGCUGCCCAGUGGAGGCACUGGCUGAGCCGUUUGCAUCCCGUGGCCUUGCAGCCCGCCUGUUUAGCACGGCCACACGGCUAGAAGAAAGGCUGGAGAAGCUGCUGGGAUGUUACUUUUAUAAGAAUGGCUUAUAAACCUCAGCCAGUUUUUCCCUGGACAGUGCCACUCGACACUGUUGCCCCAGCAAAAUUACAAGCUGCAAAUCUGAUCUGGCCAGAGGGAAAGCUUGCUGUCAACAGGAAACGUGGGUAGAAAUAAUAAUAAUAGAAACAAUAGCUGACACAUGCAAAUCUAAUGUAAAUAAAAAUACACGGGUGUGUGUGUGUGUGUGUGUGUGUGUGUGUGUGUGUGUGGCGUUUAUCUACCUACUGGACAGAAUUCCUCAUUGUUGUGAAGUCCACGUGCUGUUUUAGAAAAACUGAUAAUAAUAAUAAAUACUUGUAUAGAGUGCCUGUCAGUGCAGCCACUGUCCCAAGCGUUUCACACAUACUGACUUACUUUAACUCAUUUAACUCCCACAUUUGUUCUGACAAGGAGGUGCUAUUAUUAUUGUUAACAUAUAAUAAUAGCUAACAUAAUUUAUUACAGAUC